rnacentral:rRNA from 1 species
CCUAAGUGCUUACGCAAUAGCGUAGGCUUUUGCCGAAUGUAAAUAAUUCGGAGAAUAAGUGGUGGGUAAGACUGGUGCCAGCCGCCGCGGUAACCCCAGCGCCACAAGUGGGGAUCGGUUUUAUUUGGUCUAAAGCGUUCGUAGCAGGUCUUGUAAAUUUUUUGUGAAUUUGUUGCGCUUAACGCAACAGACUGCAGAAAAGACUGCAAGACUAGGAACUGGGAGGAGUAAGCGGUAUUCUCGGGGGAGCGGUAAAAUGUUAUAAUCCCGAGAGGACCACCUGUGCCGAAGGGGGCUUACUAGAACAGAUUCGACUGUGAGGGACGAAAGCUAGGGGAGCGAAACGGAUUAGAUACCCGUGUAGUCCUAGCCGUAAACACUGUGUGCUAGAUAUGGCAUAAACUUAGAGUUUGUGCUGUAUCGCAACGAAGGUGCAAGCACACCACCUGGGAAGUAUAGUCGCAAGGCUGAAACUUAAAGGAAUUGGCGGGGGAGCACUACAAGGGGCGCGGCGUGCGGUUUAAUUGAAUUCAACGCCGGAAAUCUCACCAGGAGCGACGGCAGGAAGAAGGCCAGUCUAAAGGGCUUGCCUGACGAGCCGAGAGGUAUUGCAUGGCCGCCGUCAGCUCGUGCCGUAAGGUGUCCUCUUAAGUGAGGUAACGAGCGAGACCUGUGUUUCCAAUUGAUAACGACACGUCAGUGGAUUGAUCACAUCGGAGAGACUGCCUGGGAAACCAGGAGGAAGGUGCAGGCAACGGUAGGUCCGUAUGGUCCGGAUCCCCUGGGCUACACGCGCGCAACAAUGGCCGGAACAAUGGGAUGCAACUCCGAAAGGAGAAGCUAAGCCUCUAAAUCCGGUCUUAGUACAGAUUGAGGUUUGUAACUCAACCUCAUGACGUCGGAAUCCCUAGUAAUUGGACUUUAGCAUAGUCCAGUGAACAUGUCCCUG